GGCCCUUAUGCAAGAAUAAACACAAACUAUCCCAAAACAAAUAAAAACUUCAUAUAAUAAAUACAAACUCGAUGGCAAUAAACAAAACUAUUCAAAAUAAACACAAACUUCACCCCUACAACUUGGGUCAUUCUCCCUCAUAAUAAACAAUAAGAGAGGAGAAUAAAUACUAACUUCUAAUAGAAUAAACAUAAAUCUCAAAAAAAAUAAAUUCAAACUUUUCAGAAUAAACACAAAUAUGUCUAAAAUAAACUAAAACUUGAAAACUUGCUCUCUACUUUGCUAUACCCCAUGCAAGAAUAAAUACAAAAUAUCCUAACAUAAAUAAAAACUUUAAAUAAUAAAUAUAAACUCUCUAAAAUAAAUAUAAAUUCUAUGGUGAUAAACAAAAAUCAUUCAAAAUAAAUACAAACUUCAUCCCAAAAUUUGGGUCAUCCAAGGUUUUCUCCCUUGAUAAAUAACAAGAAUAGAGGAUAAACACUAAUUUCUAAUAGAAUAAACAUAUUUUUUUUGAAAAUAAAUAAAAACUCUUUAGAAUAAGUAUAAGUAG
rnacentral:lncRNA from 1 species